rnacentral:misc_RNA from 1 species
GAUGAAGAACGUAGCGAAAUGCGAUAAGUAGUGUGAAUUGCAGACUUUAGUGAAUCAUCGAAUCUUUGAACGCACAUUGCGCCCCUUGGUAUUCCGAGGGGCAUGCCUGUUCGAGCGUCAUUAUAACCCCUCAAGCUCAGCUUGGUGUUGGGGCCUGCUGCACUGGCAGCCCUUAAAAUCAGUGGCGGCGCCAUCUGGCUCUAAGCGUAGUAAUUCUUCUCGCUAUGGAGUCCUGGUGGAUGCUUGCCAUCAACCCCCAAUUUUUCUAUGGUUGACCUCGGAUCAGGUAGGGAUACCCGCUGAACUUAAGCAUAUCAAUAAGCGGAGGA